rnacentral:misc_RNA from 1 species
AAUAUGUUGUACUUGAUUAUUUGUUUUACUUGUUGAGUUUCAUUCUGAGUGACUUUUGGCCAGAUAAGGUAUUUGAUGAACCUUCAAGUUCAUAUCAACUUUUUCGUUAUCUGUGUUUGCAAAUUUCGUGUCGCUACAUAUACACGAAAGCUUUUAUUUGCUUCAACUGCAUUUGUCUACUUUUCUUCAACUUUUUCUUCUUUCUUGUGAUUCCACGGAAGGUUCUUCUAACAUAUUUUCUCAACAGCAAUUUUAAUACCUUUCAUUUUAUUAGUUUUUUGUUUUUUUGAUAGGUUUAUUCCUUUUUAUUCUUUUUUUGAUAUGUAUCAUCAAACUUUUUUAAUUGAUCUUUUUUCUUGCUUUAGCCCGUGCCAAUUGUUAUUAUUAUCGUCAUCUUUGUGAUGCUUCCAAUCAGUUUUCUGGGAUUUUUUUGCUGUAUUUUGUGGUCACCUCUCAGAGGUUGAGAUAAAUUGUCUGUUCGAUGCUUUUGAGAGUAAUGGAUGAGCUUUCUUGUAUUAUGAACAAUUGUUUUGUCUUGUUCAGAUUUUGAUGAGCAGCAAAGAUAGAGGGAAAAAAAAAUUAUGGAGAACUUAUGGAAGAUGUUUUGUGGUGAAUCUGGAAGUUCAGAGAGUGGUGGAAAGCCAGAUGGUUCUUUUUUUGUGUUUUUAAGCCAACCAUCUUGUGUCAACCACAUCUUCAUCAUUUGUCUCGAUUUCUUGCUUCUUUUCAUGCUCUUAUUUAACUUGAUACAAAAAUCAUUAUCCUCCAAAACUUGUCAAAUCCUACCUAGAUUUCGAGCAUUUUCACGUUUGCAGAUUGGCUCUGCCAUCUUCAAUGGGUGUCUUGGGUUGGUGUACUUGUGUUUGAGCAUAUGGAUUUUAGAAGAGAAGUUGAGGAAAACCUAUACUGCCUUACCCUUGAACGGAUGGUUACUAGUGUUGUUUCAGGGGAUCACAUGGAUUUCUGUGGGUUUAACCAUAAGCCUUCGAGGGAAACAUCUUCCGAGGACGCCAUCGCGGCUACUAUCUGUUCUUGCAUUCUUGUUUGCUGGAAUUGUAUGUGCUUUAUCCCUGUGUGCUGCCAUUUUAGGCAAAGGAAUAUCAAUCAAGGGAGCUUUAGAUGUUCUGUCCUUUCCAGGAGCAAUAUUAUUGCUGUUCUGUGUUUACAAGGGCUGUAAGGAGGAAGAAACUGAUGAAAGUGAACCUGGCUUUUAUGCUCCUUUAACUGGUGAUGAGGCUAGUGGCAUUAGUAAAACUGAUUUUGUUGUCCCAGUUACUCUGUUUGCUAAAGCAAGUUUCUUCAGUAGCAUGUCAUUUUGGUGGUUGAAUCCGCUGAUGAAAAAGGGUAGAGAGAAAACUCUUGUGGAUGAGGAUAUACCCAAGUUGCGCGAAACAGAUCGAGCAGAAAGCUGUUAUUUGCUGUUCCUGGAGCAAUUGAACAAGCAAAAACAAGCUGAACCAUUCUCUCAACCCUCACUCUUGUGGACAAUCAUAUUAUGCCACUGGAAAGAGAUUCUAAUCUCUGGGUUCUUUGCUUUGCUAAAGAUAAUUACUUUGUCAGCAGGUCCUUUGCUUCUUAAUGCCUUCAUUUUGGUUGCCGAAGGCAAAGCAAGUUUUAAAUACGAAGGCUAUAUAUUGGCAUUAACACUUUUCAUUUCAAAGAACUUGGAGUCCUUAUCACAAAGGCAGUGGUAUUUUAGGUCCAGGCUUAUUGGUUUGAAAGUAAGGUCUUUGCUCACAGCUGCAGUCUAUAAGAAGCAGUUAAGGUUGUCGAAUGCUGGUAGAUUGAUGCACUCUGGUGGCGAGAUAAUGAACUAUGUUACCGUAGAUGCUUAUAGAAUUGGUGAGUUCCCCUUUUGGUUUCAUCAGACAUGGACUACAAGCCUCCAACUCUGCUUUUCUCUUGUCAUUCUCUUCAAUGCAGUAGGGCUAGCAACAAUUGCAGCCUUAGUGGUUAUUAUAAUCACUGUCCUAUGCAACACUCCACUUGCUAAGUUACAGCAUAAAUUUCAGUCUAAGCUUAUGGUGGCACAAGAUGAGAGAUUGAGGGCUUGUACCGAGUCUCUUGUUAACAUGAAGGUGUUGAAAUUAUAUGCCUGGGAAACCCAUUUCAAGAAUGUUAUAGAAAAUCUAAGGAAAGUGGAGUAUAAAUGGUUGUCAGCAGUUCAAUUGCGAAAAGCUUAUAAUGGGUUUCUCUUUUGGUCCUCCCCAGUUUUGGUCUCUGCUGCUACCUUUGGUGCUUGCUAUUUCCUCAAAAUUCCUCUACAUGCUAAUAAUGUUUUCACUUUUGUGGCAACUUUACGGCUUGUUCAAGAUCCUAUUAGAUCAAUUCCUGAUGUUAUUGGAGUGGUCAUUCAAGCAAAUGUAGCCUUUUCACGUAUUGUUAAAUUUCUUGAGGCACCAGAAUUGCAGAGUGGAAAUGUUCGGCAAAGGCAAAAGCAAAAACGAACAAUGGAGAACCAUGCCAUUUCUAUUAAGGGAGCCAAUUUUUCAUGGGAAGAGAAGUCAGCAAAGCCCACACUCAGAUAUGUAAAUCUGGGGAUUAGACCUGGUGAAAAGGUGGCUGUGUGUGGAGAAGUUGGCUCAGGCAAAUCAACACUUUUAGCAGCAAUUCUUGGAGAAGUUCCAGUAACUCAGGGAACUAUUCAGGUUAGUGGGAGGAUUGCCUAUGUUUCUCAAACAGCUUGGAUUCAGACUGGGACAAUACAAGAGAAUAUUUUAUUUGGCUCUGCCUUGGAUAGCCAACGAUACCAAGACACACUUGAGAGAUGUUCAUUGGUAAAGGAUCUUGAGUUGCUUCCAUAUGGUGAUCAUACAGAAAUAGGGGAAAGAGGAGUGAAUCUGAGUGGUGGUCAAAAGCAGCGAAUUCAACUUGCUCGUGCUCUCUAUCAGGAUGCUGAUAUAUAUCUCUUGGAUGAUCCAUUCAGUGCUGUUGAUGCACACACUGCUACAAGCUUAUUUAAUGAAUAUGUUAUGGGAGCACUUUCAAGGAAGACUGUCCUACUUGUGACACAUCAAGUUGAUUUUCUGCCAGCAUUUGAUUCUGUUUUGUUGAUGUCAGAUGGUGAAAUCGUGCAAGCAGCUCCUUAUCAUCAGUUGUUGGCCUCGAGCCAAGAAUUUCAGGACCUUGUAAAUGCUCACAAAGAGACAGCUGGUUCUGAAAGGCUUACUGAAAUUGCUACCCCUCAGAAAAGGGGUUCAUCUACUAUGGAGAUCAAGAAGACAUAUGUGGAGAAGCAACUGAAAGUAUCUAAAGGAGAUCAAUUGAUCAAACAAGAAGAGAGAGAAGUGGGGGAUACAGGGCUGAAGCCUUAUGUUCAGUAUCUGAAUCAGAACAAAGGAUACUUGUACUUCUCCCUUGCAGCUCUUGGUCACCUUACGUUUGUGAUUGGACAGAUAUCACAGAAUUCUUGGAUGGCAGCUAAUGUUGACAAGCCUAACGUCAGUCCAUUAUGGUUGAUUGCGGUCUACUUGAUUAUUGGAGUUGCUUCAACAUUGUUUUUGCUGGGUAGAUCUCUUGCUACAGUCAUUUUGGGUCUUGAAUCAUCCAAGUCUCUAUUUUCACAGCUACUGAAUUCCCUUUUUCGUGCACCUAUGUCUUUUUAUGACUCCACACCACUCGGAAGGAUACUUAGUCGGGUAUCAUCCGAUCUGAGUAUCGUUGAUCUUGAUGUUCCAUUCAGUAUAAUCUUUGCGGUGGGGGCUACCACAAAUGCCUAUGCCAGUCUUGGAGUACUUGCUGUUGUUACCUGGCAAGUCCUGUUUGUCUCCAUACCAAUGCUUUAUCUGGCAAUUCGUUUACAGAGAUAUUACUUUGCCUCUGCAAAAGAGUUGAUGAGGAUCAAUGGUACAACCAAAUCUUUGGUGGCAAAUCAUUUAGCAGAAUCUGUAGCAGGUGCUAUGACAAUAAGGGCUUUUGAGGAGGAGGAGAGAUUCUUUGCAAAGAAUCUUGAUCUCAUCGACACAAAUGCUAGUCCUUUCUUCCACAGUUUUGCAGCAAAUGAGUGGUUGAUUCAACGGUUGGAAACAGUUAGUGCGACUGUUCUUGCCUCUGCAGCACUUUGCAUGGUCUUGCUUCCUCCUGGAACUUUUAGCUCUGGAUUUAUUGGAAUGGCACUUUCUUAUGGGCUUUCAUUAAACAUGUCCCUGGUUUUUUCAAUUCAAAACCAAUGCACCAUAGCGAAUUACAUCAUUUCUGUUGAAAGGCUUAAUCAAUACAUGCACGUACCAAGUGAAGCACCUGAGGUGAUAGAAGAUAACCGUCCUCCACCCAAUUGGCCAGCAAUAGGUAGAGUGGAUAUCUGUGAUUUGCAGAUCAGAUAUAGGCCUGAUGCACCACUAGUUCUUCGAGGGAUCAGUUGCACAUUUGUAGGAGGGCACAAGAUUGGUAUUGUUGGCCGUACAGGCAGUGGAAAGACUACUCUUAUCGGAGCUCUAUUUCGUCUUGUGGAGCCAGCAGGAGGAAAGAUUAUUGUUGAUGGCGUUGACAUCUCAAAAAUUGGCCUUCAUGAUCUCAGAUCGCGAUUUGGAAUAAUACCUCAAGAUCCUACUCUUUUUAAUGGAACUGUGAGAUACAAUUUGGACCCCUUGACUCAACAUAGCGAUCAGGAGAUAUGGGAGGUUCUUGGAAAGUGCCAGCUUCGAGAAGCUGUCCAGGAGAAAGAACAGGGACUAGACUCCUUGGUUGUGGAAGAUGGAUCAAAUUGGAGCAUGGGGCAGAGACAAUUGUUUUGCUUGGGGCGUGCACUUUUGAGGAGAAGUCGAAUAUUGGUGCUCGAUGAAGCAACUGCAUCAAUUGACAAUGCAACCGACUUGAUCUUGCAAAAAACUAUUCGGACUGAAUUUGCAGAUUGCACUGUGAUCACAGUAGCUCACAGGAUACCAACCGUGAUGGAUUGCACCAUGGUUCUAGCCAUCAGUGAUGGAAAACUAGUAGAGUAUGACGAGCCAAUGAAGUUAAUGAAGAGAGAAAGUUCACUGUUUGGGCAGCUUGUAAAGGAAUACUGGUCUCAUUAUCACUCUGCAGAAUCACAUUGAAGCUGAAUCAUUUUAACUCUGGCUAGGCAGCAAAGAGGAAGGGAGGAGAAUGUUCAAACUGGGUAGUGGGAUGUAUGGUAUUAGGGUUGUAGGCAAAAUAUUCAAGAAGGAACAGAAGUUCCUAACCAGAGUGUAGCUGUAUUUAAUCAUCAAUAUUUAUUUCUAUAAGGAAAUUAAUCAAAUCAUUUAUUGUUGUGUCCUGUAAGGAAAUUAUUGGUUGCAAUUGUUCACAGCCAAUUUCAUAUUCCAAAAUCUUUCCAAAGUGCAGGAAGGAAAGCCCUGUACUGAGAGAAAGCAGAUUUGCCUUUUAUUGGUCUAGGCUUCAAGAAACAGUGUUAAGAUGUACAAUCUUCUCAGACCAGCAAAUGGUAAAGAAAACUACAGCAACACAACUGCAAGAAAAAUAAGCUUGACCUUGAAGGAAAAUAUAUCCCCAUAUCACCAUUUUUCUUUUCCACCGCUUUGGGAUGAGAAGUGUCGAUCAAUAUUGCUUUUAGAAGUCUUUUCCAGGAAGAAUGUAGUGCCUACAAAGGGCGUAAACAUGGAGAUCGAGAAUGGAAGUGGUGUUUAUAGGGCUUUAAAGAUUGAUGCCAAUGGCAUUUGUAAAACUGAUUCUGCUGGUCAAGAUAUUCCAUUUGCCAAAGCAUUUUAGCAGUAAAAUCCGCCAAUGAAAAACUAGCAGCGAAAAUUCUUGAAGAUGAACAUAUACCCUGCAAGUUGUACUAACCAAGUCGAGCAGGAUACUGCUAUCUAUA